AUAAAUAUAAAUUAAUAAAUUUAAAAUAACUUAAAAAAGAUUUAAAAAAAAUUUAAAAAAAAAUUAAAAACAUUCCAAAAAUAAUUAUAAAAAAAAAGAAACAAGUGUAGGCGCCACUCCUAGUGGCGACUUGCCCUACCUUUAAGGGUAGGCGCCAACUAGGGUGGCGCCCAUGAAGAAAAUAGGGCAAAAAAUGCCCAUAUUUGUAAUUUUUUUGAAAAUAUGGAUAUUUUUGGAUUUUUUUUUAAAAUUGAAUAUUUAAAAAAAAAC
rnacentral:lncRNA from 1 species